rnacentral:rRNA from 1 species
AGAGUUUGAUCCUGGCUCAGAACGAACGCUGGCGGCGUGCUUAACACAUGCAAGUCGAACGUGAUUGAGAGCUUGCUCUCAUGAAAGUGGCGCACGGGUGAGUAACACGUGGAUAAUCUGCCUGGCGAUUCGGGAUAACACUUCGAAAGGGGUGCUAAUACCGGAUAAGCCCACGGUCUCUUUGGAGAGUGCGGGAAAAGGGGGCCUCUGUAUAUGCUCCUGUCGCUAGAUGAGUCCGCGGCCCAUUAGCUAGUUGGUAGGGUAAUGGCCUACCAAGGCGACGAUCCGUAGCUGGUCUGAGAGGACGACCAGCCACACUGGAACUGAGGCACGGUCCAGACUCCUACGGGAGGCAGCAGUGGGGAAUUUUGGACAAUGGGGGCAACCCUGAUCCAGCCAUUCCGCGUGAGUGAAGAAGGCCUUCGGGUUGUAAAGCUCUUUCAGCAGGAACGAAACGGUGGCCCCUAAUACGGGCUACUAAUGACGGUACCUGAAGAAGAAGCACCGGCUAACUACGUGCCAGCAGCCGCGGUAAUACGUAGGGUGCGAGCGUUAAUCGGAAUUACUGGGCGUAAAGCGUGCGCAGGCGGUUAUGUAAGACAGGUGUGAAAUCCCCGGGCUUAACCUGGGAACUGCGCUUGUGACUGCAUAACUUGAGUGUGGCAGAGGGGGGUGGAAUUCCACGUGUAGCAGUGAAAUGCGUAGAGAUGUGGAGGAACACCGAUGGCGAAGGCAGCCCCCUGGGUCAACACUGACGCUCAUGCACGAAAGCGUGGGGAGCAAACAGGAUUAGAUACCCUGGUAGUCC